rnacentral:rRNA from 1 species
UACGAAGGGGGCGAGGCGUUGUUCGGAUUUACUGGGCGUAAAGAGCGCGCAGGCGGUCGUUCAAGUCGAGUGUGAAAGCCCCCGGCUCCAACUGGGGAGGGUCAUUCGGAUACUGAUCGACUCGAAGGCAGGAGAGGGUAGUGGAAUUCCCGGUGUAGUGGUGAAAUGCGUAGAUAUCGGGAGGAACACCAGUGGCGAAGGCGACUACCUGGCCUGUUCUUGACGCUGAGGCGCGAAAGCUAGGGGAGCAAACGGG